UACGUAGGGGGCUAGCGUUGUCCGGAUUUAUUGGGCGUAAAGAGCGUGUAGGCGGCCAGGUAGGUCUGGGGUGAAAACUCGAGGCUUAACCUUGAGAUGUCAUCGGAAACCAUUUGGCUAGAGUCCGGAAGAGGAAAGUGGAAUUCCUGGUGUAGCGGUGAAAUGCGCAGAUAUCAGGAAGAACACCAAUGGCGAAAGCAGCUUACUACACGUACUAUUGACACUGAGGCACGAAAGCGUGGGGAUCAAACAGG
rnacentral:rRNA from 1 species